rnacentral:tRNA from 1 species
GUUUAUAUAGUUUAAGUAAAACAUUACAUUUUCAAUGUAAAGUCGAGACCAUCUCUUUAAAUA